UUCGACUGUAAGUUACCAUAGCCUGUCCUCGCGAAUAGUGUUUACAAGCGCGUAUCUAGCGAAUAGUUUGCUGCGAACGGGCAUAAAUUGAGCAGAGAAUGAAAUUUCCCGCGGCGGAUUCGACCUCGAUUUAUCGUCGGUGAUAGUGACUUGGGAAGGAAUGGAAAAGACAAUAUCUCGUGUCGAUAAACAUGGGUAAGGAAUUCGUUAAUAACGCGAAGAUAAGAAGAAUUACUACGGCAAAGGACGAAGUAACGAAGGCAUCCUUGAAAUGACAUGCUUUCCAGCGUGCUAUCAAUGCACGUUCGAAGAGGACGAUAAGAAACCAAACAGAAGGAGGAGGAGCAUAAGGGAAAGAGAAAGAAAGAGGCAGCUGCACCCCGCAAUGCGGCACAGUUCCUGAUCCGAUGGCAAGCUCAGUCAGCGUCCUCGAGAACAACCCAAGAAUCCACCGAUUUUCCAGCAAUCUUUGCGUAAAAUAGAAAAUUCCAAAGUUUACGAUACGGUCGAAAAUGUUCGUUAUUUUUUAGAGCUUAAAUAUUUGGAAGUUUUACGAAAGUGCAUUUACUGCAGAAAGUUCUUACCUAAUGUACCUACUACGUGUGCGUUAUACGAAACUUUUUGAAAUUUCGCUAGUGGUAUAAUUAAAUAUAGCUAUCGUGAAUAUACUGGUAAAAUCUGUUUCUACUUGGUUAAGCUUAUUUAAGCUUGUAAUAAUUGUAUCCAAUCACUGACUUCGUUAUAUACGUUGACUUAUUCUUUCUUCUCGACUUAUUCUGUCGAUAUUUGGCAACAAGCAAUUAUUCGGCGCAAACGGUAGUUGGUUCGAUGAAUGUUUAAGAGAAACGUGCCAUUUGCGAACGCAUUAGCGAAUAUUUAUGGAGACGUUAAAAGGAUGUACCUUAAUGACUGAAAGCAUUAGCUUUACAUACCGAAGAUGCGAUUGCGAGCAAAGAAACAGUCAACUAAAUUCUUUCGUUAUCAAUCUCCCGUAUCUUAAAAUAAAAGCACGAAACCAAUUAGAAUAGAUUUACUUUGACAUUUACGAUUGAACUUUCGUAGAGUAAAUCGUGUUGUAUAAUGCCUAUUUAAAAUCUUACUUUGUUUAUUCAUCUCUAUAAUCUUACGUAAUUUUACUAGCAACAAGUAGUCGAUCGAUUAUAAUCAACGGUUACUACUUUCGACCGAAAGUAAUAAAUCAUAAUCAUAAUUUCAUUUUCUAAGAAACGAAGCUUUCAAAGCAAUGCCGUUGUUGCUGAUCUUCGCCUUACUUUCAACCAUAGAAUCUCUCUGACUUCGUUUAUACCGCGAAUUUAAGCUCGCUAUGUAUAGCUGCAUCAACGAUCGAAAUUCAAACAAAGGAACAGCCUUCGCGCUCGUUCGUGCACUUGGCUCCGGAUGCGGUCACAGAACAGCCAUAAAAGCUACAAAGAGACCGGUGGUCAGAGAACAGCAUAUUUCGGAUUCUAUCGUGUUCGAUCCGAACAAAUAUCGGCUGGUGAUGGUUCGGCCGAAAAGUGGAACUUCGACGUGACUCGUUCCGAUCAUAGACAAAAGAGGAGAGAUACAAAAGGACCGGUGACAGAGAUCGUCACGAUGGACAGACACGUGACGAAGAGAAGGCCAAGGGUCAGGCGCGGGAUAGCCAGCGAAAGAGGAUGGGGUCGAGCGGAUGAUUCGCCACCGAGGCCAGGAAUCCCGUAAUUUCUGCAACAAAGCGAGCCGUCUAUCUCGCCACUAUGCACUGUACAUGGCACACUGCCGCACUACCCUCCGUACAACAGGGUUAUUAGAUCGUCGUGAUGAACGAGCUAUCACGCUAUCACGUUGGCUCACUCUUCACGGCGCAUCGCGAGGAUACGCGUAAUACGCAAGCACUUGUAUAGCACCGCAUCUUUUCCGCGAUGCUUCCCUUUAUCCGCACUGACUAUGUUUUUGGGUUUUGAAAUUGGCCGAGUUAACCCUUUCGCUGAUAUCGUACUUUUAGAAACGAUUAAUUUGCGAUUUGCAUACGAAUAAUUAAUGAAACGUCGAGUUACCUGUUUUUCAUGAAACUGAUGUCAAAUUUUAGUACAUUAUGUCCUUGUUACAAAACCAGUAAAGAGAAGUAUGUUUCUACGACGUUAAAUAGUACGAAUGGUUUGAUAUUUUGAUUUAUCUUAUGCAGCUUUUUCUAAUACACGUCGUAAAAUAA
rnacentral:lncRNA from 1 species